rnacentral:rRNA from 1 species
UACGUAGGGUGCAAGCGUUAAUCGGAAUUACUGGGCGUAAAGCGUGCGCAGGCGGCGAUGUAAGACAGAUGUGAAAUCCCCGGGCUCAACCUGGGAACUGCAUUUGUGACUGCAUCGCUGGAGUGCGGCAGAGGGGGAUGGAAUUCCGCGUGUAGCAGUGAAAUGCGUAGAUAUGCGGAGGAACACCGAUGGCGAAGGCAAUCCCCUGGGCCUGCACUGACGCUCAUGCACGAAAGCGUGGGGAGCAAACAGG